rnacentral:rRNA from 1 species
GACGAACGCUGGCGGCGCGCUUAACACAUGCAAGUCGAGCGAGAACCAGGGCUUCGGCCCUGGGGACAGCGGCGAACGGGUGAGUAACACGUGGGUAAUCCACCCUCGGCACCGGAAUAGCCCGGGGAAACCCGGAUUAAUGCCGGAUGGCCCGCCGGCCCCGAGGGGCUGGCGGAAAAGGUAGCUUCGGCCUCCGGCCGAGGACGAGCCCGCGACGGAUUAGCUUGUUGGUGGGGUAACGGCCUACCAAGGCUGCGAUCCGUAGCUGGUCUGAGAGGACGAUCAGCCACACUGGGACUGAGACACGGCCCAGACUCCUACGGGAGGCAGCAGUGGGGAAUCUUGCGCAAUGGGCGAAAGCCUGACGCAGCGACGCCGCGUGGGGGAAGAAGGCCUUCGGGUUGUAAACCUCUUUCAGGAGGGACGAAGCCACUCGGGUUAAUAGCCCAGAGGGUGACGGUACCUCCAGAAGAAGCCCCGGCUAACUACGUGCCAGCAGCCGCCGCGGUAA